rnacentral:lncRNA from 1 species
AAACAUGAAAAUAAAUGAAGGAAUGAUGUUUUAUUUUAAUCUGCAGAGUCUUUGUUGCUUUACCUCUCUUCACUUUUGUUACUUUCCCGUCUCUCCUCCUGGGGUUUAUCUUCUUUUUUUUUUCUCGGUGUAAUCUCUUUUUUCUUUCUUUCUUUCUGUCUGUCUCUGUUUUUCUGUUCGAGUUUGAUUCCCACCCUCUCCGAGAGUUUCUCUAUCCCUCCAGCGUAUCGCAGAGCUGCUGUCAGAUGUUAUCAUCUGAUGUCUUGCUGCUUUCUCAACCCUCGGUACGUUAGAUUGGAAACUCCUUUUCUGUUUCCUAUUUUUCCAUCUUUUCCUCAGUCCUUCGUUUUUAUCCUUUCCUCAGUCCAUCAGCCAUCCUCCUAAACGUCCCCUUUUAUUGCACUUUUCUUGCUCGCUUUAAUUCCUCUGUAAAUAAACAUGAAAAAAGAGCAACCUGCACAUAACAGGCCGAGCUACAUCCAUCACUUCUGCUGGAUCAGCUGUUAUUUGUCGUUUUCGUCGCUCUUGCAGCCUCAGGGUUUGUGUUUACAUCAUGUCUAAUCACAACACCACCAAGCAAGACAAAACAGAAAAUGAAAUAUCAGCCUUUGCAUGUAAUUACAAACUCAGCAUGACUCUGUCAAACCACAAACUCCCAGACUUACAGUAGGAGUCAGUGAUCAGGGGAGUCAGAGCUCAGAGUCACACGCUGGGAUCACAGCAGGUUUAAUUAUUAUCUGAAAUAUGUGAUACUAAUAAAGAGUGGAGAUUGAUUUCCCACGUGAAAACAUUUGAUUAUAUGGAAAUGUAUUUGAACCAAGAAGGAUACAGAGUCUUGAACCUAAGUGGCAAUUUUAUUCACUGAAUCAAUCCAGACUUUCUGCCGUCUGAAUAUUUUUAUCUCUUAACGAUUCGACUCGACCCGAAACAAACAAGAACUAUUGAUGCCAGAGUUAUAAAAGUUCAAUCAAACUCAUUCUUAAGCAAAACUCAUAAAUACGAAAGUCUCACACCAACUGAAGUGAACUACUCGGUUUUUUAUUCCCUUAUAUUUACGCGACUGUUGUGGUUACUGUCAAAAUAAAGGUACAGAGCGUCCAAUCAUGACCGUGUCCUGCAGGAAACUCGAGUUUAAGCUUUAAAUUUGACUCAUGAUGAAGAACCACAGUCUUUACUUUAGUGGUCUGAUAAGAACAUCUGAGUGUCAUCUGCAUAAGGUCGUAUAUUUUGUUUUGAUUUGUAAAGUUAGACGAUUUUGCAGAGGGUCUUCGUUUCAGUUUGAGAUCUCAUUUAAGUCGCCUCUCUUUGAACUCCUGUGGAUUUUAGGAUGAGGACAUUUUUCUACCUUCGUGGAGUCUGUAAUCUACAUUUUGCAGCUCUGUAGCGCACUCUAAAAACUCUCUGUUUUUCUGAGAGGAACCCAAUGAUUGUGUCAGAAUGUUGGGUUCGAUUGACUCUUCAUGGUUUCUAGUCCGAAUGGCAAUUAUAUUAAUGGCAAAUAUAUCUCAGGCGGCUGGGGUAGCUCAGCGGGUUGAAAUCCCACAUGAGACGCAUCUGUAAACGCGAACGGCAUCUACCAGUGUGGGUUCUUAGGCAAAAUCCUUAGCGCUAUGGCCUACCUCAUGAGCGUGUAAUAAGUAGUUGGUCACUUUCCAACCCUGGUGUUGGGUUUUUAGAGUGUAAAAUGGGAUGUGGCCCAUUUCAUCCAACAUGAGUGACAGUGGGGAGAAAAAAACUUCCUUUUAACAGGCAGAAACCUUGAGCAGGACCAGACUCAGACCAGACACCUAGUGGCAGACUCCCCAGCCACCAGGCGCUGCUGGGUUGGGGAGGAAUACAGAGAGAUAGAAAGAGAUAAUAACUUGGAACUCUUUUCAGUCCUUUCACAGCUGAAGGGCUUGGUCUUCUCAAGGACUGACCUUUUUUUUUUAAGAUAUAAACUGAUGCUUAAUUUAUGCACAGAAACCCUCGAAGGAGGGAGAAGGGCAGACGGGGUCGAACCCGGCCCAAGAGCAGAUAUUUCUCAUAACCUGAUGUCACUUAAUGAUUAAUACUUCUUACCUGCAGCCAGUGGGAUUGGUGCAGACUUUUCUUUUUUAAAACAAAAGUUUAGCAGAGACUCAAACAAAGAGCUGUUUGUAAUUUCAGUGACCAAGUAUCUGUCCUGGAUGUCAGCGGCCUGAUCGUAUACCUGCUGCAGCUCCUUGAGGAAUGUUCCUGAGACGUUCCUAGAUUUGCUCCGUAUCUCCUCACAGUUUUUGAAUCUUUGUAUCCUGCUGAAGCUGAGUGUGUUUUGACCUAAACGUGGGGGACAUCUGUGUACGUCAGGCAGUCAUACAAACUUCUUUGUGGUCGAAUCACGCUGCACCGGACACUCGAAGUCUUCUGAAGAAUCU